AGAGUGAGGAGAAAAUCCUCCUGGGUGGAAACAAGGACACACUCCAGGUUGACUUUCA
rnacentral:sRNA from 1 species